rnacentral:rRNA from 1 species
AUUCCAGCUCCAAUAGCGUAUAUUAAAGUUGUUGUGGUUAAAAAGCUCGUAGUUGGAUCUCGGCGGUCUGAGGGCGGUUCGCUUCAGAGCGCUACUGCCCUAUAGACCGUAGUUUUGCCAGAGGUCUCAGGGUGCUCUUAACCGAGUGUCUUGCGAUGCUGGCAGGUUUACUUUGAAAAAAUUAGAGUGCUCAAAGCAGGCUUUUACGCCUGAAUAUUCGUGCAUGGAAUAAUAGAAUAGGAAGUCGUUUCUAUUUUGUUGGUUUUCGGAAAUCGACUUAAUGAUUAAUAGGGAUAGUUGGGGGCAUUCGUAUUUAACAGUCAGAGGUGAAAUUCUUGGAUUUGUUAAAGACGGACUACUGCGAAAGCAUUUGCCAAGGAUGUUUUCAUUG